GACGAACGCUGGCGGCGUGCUUAACACAUGCAAGUCGAACGGAAAGGCCCUGCUUUUGUGGGGUGCUCGAGUGGCGAACGGGUGAGUAACACGUGAGUAACCUGCCCUUGACUUUGGGAUAACUUCAGGAAACUGGGGCUAAUACCGGAUAGGAGCUCCUGCUGCAUGGUGGGGGUUGGAAAGUUUCGGCGGUUGGGGAUGGACUCGCGGCUUAUCAGCUUGUUGGUGGGGUAGUGGCUUACCAAGGCUUUGACGGGUAGCCGGCCUGAGAGGGUGACCGGCCACAUUGGGACUGAGAUACGGCCCAGACUCCUACGGGAGGCAGCAGUGGGGAAUAUUGCACAAUGGGCGGAAGCCUGAUGCAGCAACGCCGCGUGCGGGAUGACGGCCUUCGGGUUGUAAACCGCUUUCGCCUGUGACGAAGCGUGAGUGACGGUAAUGGGUAAAGAAGCACCGGCUAACUACGUGCCAGCAGCCGCGGUGAUACGUAGGGUGCGAGCGUUGUCCGGAUUUAUUGGGCGUAAAGGGCUCGUAGGUGGUUGAUCGCGUCGGAAGUGUAAUCUUGGGGCUUAACCCUGAGCGUGCUUUCGNAUACGGUUGACUUGAGGAAGGUAGGGGAGAAUGGAAUUCCUGGUGGAGCGGUGGAAUGCGCAGAUAUCAGGAGGAACACCAGUGGCGAAGGCGGUUCUCUGGGCCUUCCCUGACGCUGAGGAGCGAAAGCGUGGGGAGCGAACAGGCUUAGAUACCCUGGUAGUCCACGCUGUAAACGGUGGGUACUAGGUGUGGGGUCCAUUCCACGGGUUCCGUGCCGUAGCUAACGCUUUAAGUACCCCGCCUGGGGAGUACGGCCGCAAGGCUAAAACUCAAAGGAAUUGACGGGGCCCCGCACAAGCGGCGGAGCAUGCGGAUUAAUUCGAUGCAACGCGUAGAACCUUACCUGGGUUUGACAUGGAUCGGGAGUGCUCAGAGAUGGGUGUGCCUCUUUUGGGGUCGGUUCACAGGUGGUGCAUGGCUGUCGUCAGCUCGUGUCGUGAGAUGUUGGGUUAAGUCCCGCAACGAGCGCAACCCUUGUUCACUGUUGCCAGCACGUUAUGGUGGGGACUCAGUGGAGACCGCCGGGGUCAACUCGGAGGAAGGUGGGGAUGACGUCAAGUCAUCAUGCCCCUUAUGUCCAGGGCUUCACGCAUGCUACAAUGGCUGGUACAGAGAGUGGCGAGCCUGUGAGGGUGAGCGAAUCUCGGAAAGCCGGUCUCAGUUCGGAUUGGGGUCUGCAACUCGACCUCAUGAAGUCGGAGUCGCUAGUAAUCGCAGAUCAGCAACGCUGCGGUGAAUACGUUCCCGGG
rnacentral:rRNA from 1 species